GGUGCACAUGAUGUUUAAAGCGAUCAAAGUAUGAGAUCUGUGAUUCCAUCUUAUCAUGACUGAUGCACU